rnacentral:lncRNA from 1 species
UGGAGCGGCGUAUUUUCUUCGCGGCGUUCACGUUGUGGUAAGCUUUUGGGAUUUGGCUUAAUCCUUAGCUUAAAGUGUUUUAAUAGCCUCUAAUGAGUAUUGUAAACAUGUUUCCUCAUUUAAUAUGGGCUAUUUGGGAGUUAUGCAUAUGUUAGGUUUAAAAUGGUAGAACCUUAGAGCUUUAAUUAUAUGCUCUAGGAAUGGGUUUAGAGGACUCCCUAUAUGAUAUCCACAUGCUAAUUGCUUGGAUUAUGAAUCAAUUUUGAAGCUUAUUGCAAUAGUAGCAUGUUAGGGCUCCAAUUUUGGGGUUUUAUAAAAUGUAUGGGUUUGAUCUAAAUUGACCCUAUGUAAACCUAAUUGCUAGGUAAACGAACGCGUUGGCGAAGACGGUUCGGCAAUCCGACGAGCCGUUACAAAGUUGUUAAAGAAACGGACGUUUAGGCUUCGUUACCGCCUGGAGGGCCGAGGCGACGUCGUAAAAUCAUGGAAAUGGAUUUGAAGCACCGUGGCACAUAACCGAAGACCUUUAAUUUUCGGAUCGUAGAUCGGAGGCCGUUCGGGUAGUCGCGCA